rnacentral:rRNA from 1 species
AAACUAACAAGGAUUCCCCUAGUAACGGCGAGUGAAGCGGGAUGAGCUCAAAUUUGUAAUCUGGUGGACUCAGUUCAUCCGAGUUGUAAUCUAUAGAAAAGUUUUCCGCGCCGGACCGUGUCUAAGUCCCUUGGAACAGGGUGUCAGAGAGGGUGAGAAUCCCGUGCUUGAUACGACCACCGGUGCUAUGUGAUACUUUUUCAACGAGUCGAGUUGUUUGGGAAUGCAGCUCAAAAUGGGUGGUAAAUUCCAUCUAAAGCUAAAUAUUGGCGAGAGACCGAUAGCGAACAAGUACCGUGAGGGAAAGAUGAAAAGCACUUUGGAAAGAGAGUUAAACAGUACGUGAAAUUGUUAAAAGGGAAACGAUUGAAGUCAGUCGUGCUCUCUGGGACUCAGCCGGUUCUUCCGGUGUAUUUCCCAGUGAGCGGGUCAACAUCAGUUUAGAUCGCUGGAUAAGGUCAUUAGGAAUGUGGCUCCCUCGGGAGUGUUAUAGCCUAGUGUCGCAUACAGUGGUUUAGACUGAGGAACGCAGCUCGCCUUUAUGGCCGGGGUUCGCCCACGUCCGAGCUUAGGAUGUUGACAUAAUGCUU